rnacentral:lncRNA from 10 species
AGAUCCGCUGGGCUUGUGCUCAACGGCUGCCGGGCGCAUCCGGCAGGAGGGAAGGAAAGAAGGCUGUGAAGGAGGGACGUGAAGCUAGGGCUGUUGGCCUUAAAAUAAACCGAACUGGAGAGUAGGAAGAACCCUAUGGGAUCCGGACUUCCUUGGUUAGAUUUGAGUUUAGUGCUGAACAUAAGGCAUACAAUUUCUGCAGGCUGGGAGUGCCGAUAGGUAGGAGCGUGCAUUUGCGUAGAAUCACUCCAGUUUAACAAAAUAUAGGGGUCCACCCUAUGUACGGCCCACGGUUAGCAAAUAGGGGGGUGAAAAACAGCUCAAGAAUGUAGUAUACGGGGGAGUCAGAUGGUUAGAUAAGCAGACACUGUGCUCUGGGCUGCGGUGGAUUGGGAGUGUUGAGGAAAGAGGGUGGGAGCCCCUACUGGCAGACGCUUUAGGGAGCCCAUUGAGAGGGCUUUUAUACAUCCAGACAGACAUUGUGAAAUGGGGAACAGAAUAAUGGUGUGCCUAAGGAGAGAAUGAUGGUUUACUUAGUGGUGUACCUAAGGGGAAGCAAAUUGGACAAGAAACCCUACCCACUUAUUUUUCAAAGGACUGCCCCACUGGUUCUGCAGGGAAGGUGAAACAAGGUGAAGGAUAUAGCUCCCAAUUUCUUAGAACACACAACAAAAACUCUCUCCCUACCUUGAAACUUUUCUCUCUCCCAUAAGUGGAAGUCCUGAGUUUUAGACCUUUCACGGACCCUACAAGACAAUCUAGCCCUGUUGUAAGGACCUAGAAGGCAGGAAAUAUGUUUUGACCUCCUCCUUUGCAUAUAUAAAGGGUAUCCUGCAUAUCUUUUGCAUCCUCUUUCAUAGGAUUGCAGGAUGUUCCUUGCGUUAAACAGCCACUCGCUAACUGGAAAGAUAUGUGCUCUAGUUUUAGGGAACAUGCCUUGACCAGUUCCUCCUCAACUGUCCUCUCACCCUCCAGGGCUGGGGGGUGGAUAACAGGACUUUUGAAUCAUCAUUGGAAUAAACUCAUUAGAACCUCUUCAUAACACCAUAUCUGCAACUGAAGGUGGGCGAGAAUGGUAAGGAAGAAAACAGAUGAGUUAUGUUCAUCCUUAACAAUCAAAGGAGUUACUCUUCUAGAUAGUUAGGGUGUUAGCUCAUCUCUCUAUUAAGUUUACAUCACAAGGAGAAAACAACCAAGUCAGCAGAUAACAACCCAGUAUAUCCAUGAGCAAUAGAGUGAGGCUUUGGAAGGUGCUCAGGAUCAGGGAGGCUGGCG